rnacentral:lncRNA from 1 species
AGAAAGCGGAGCCUUUCUUACACCGGAAGUCAAUGAAGCGGGUCUUUCCUACGCUAAAAACCACUGAGUGGAGUAUUUAGUACACAGGAAGUCGGCCAGAGAAACAUUUCUCAUAUUUGAAGGCCGGAAAGAGGGACAUUUCUGACACCGGAAGUCAGUGAGAGGACUCUUUCCCACACAGGAAGUCAGCUAGAGAGCCGUCUCCCCUCUCUGGAGCCGAGAGAGGCCGGUUUCCCCCACCGUAGCCCACCUGGGAGGAAUUUUCCAGAGAUCACUGUCUGAUGACCCUGUCUUGGAAUUGGAGCCAUGCAAGUUACACUGACCACGUUUGGGUUGGGAUAUUGAGGAGGUUAUGGUUAAAAGCAUACGAUGGGAGAUCAUAUUGUACUUGCGAGUGAGACCCGGCUGGAGGAAUGUUUUAAUUCUUCGGAAAUACCAAGUGGUCUCUAGAUGGGUUUUCACUAUUUUUCCCAGGCUAGUCUCCAACUUCUGGGCUCAAGCGAUCCACCCGCCUUGGCCUCCUAAGUCCUAGGAUUAUAGCCAAGAAUGUUCUGAAAUGAAGCCAAUAUCUGAAGGAUCUAGGAUGCCUGUUCCCCUCUCUUAUGCUGUCUCGGGGGAUGAUUUAGCCACCAAGAAUUUUCCUUAUGGUUGCAAGAUGAUUAAAAAAAACCACACACUCAGA